AGCCGCGGUAGUAUAGCCCGGUCAAGUAUGCGGGCCUUUCGAGCCCGUGACCCGGGUUCAAAUCCCGGCCGCGGC
rnacentral:tRNA from 1 species